rnacentral:lncRNA from 1 species
UGUGUUACAGUCUUCAAUCUAGGGCUCUUGGCAGAGGAAAAGAAGAGAGACUGAAUUCCAGGAUGCUUCUACUUAGUGUCAGUAUGCAUCACUUCCAUGUGCAUCCUAUUGAUAUAAGCAAAUCAAACAACUAAAAAGAUGCUUACAAACACAAUACACAGUAUCAAGUUUCUGUAGGGAGAAGAGGAAGCAAAUUUAAUCCUCCAAAGAACAUUUAAAUUAAGAUGAAAUUAAAACCUUUUUGUUCUCCCCCCUUCAGAAACUUCUUUCAGAAGAGCAGAGAGUAGACUAUGUCCAAGUGGAUGAGCAGAAGACACAAGCUCUCCAGAGCACCAAGCAGGAGUGGACCGAUGAGAGGCAAUCCAAAGUGUGAGAGAGCACUUACAGAUAGAAGAUAUAACUGAACUGAGAAAUUAACAGAUCCAGCUCUGCCACUUCAGCCUUGCUACUGUGUCUUAUAUAUGAAGAUGGAUCAAAUACGCAGCCAGCUCUAUGAGGAUCAGUGUAGCCAGAGAAGAUGUAGGCUUUGUCAUUGGGUGUCAACAUUUCA